GUUUCAAUCCCUUAAAGGUAAGAUAUAAAC
rfam:Caldibacillus debilis strain B4135 NODE_72, whole genome shotgun sequence.